GUUCAUUUUUGUUCUUGUUUUUCAGUUAGCAAUCUGUAAAAUUUAUUGCAAAAUUAAGCUCCCUGCUCCAGAGUCAAUAAUAUUCCUGGUGCCAGGUGGUGUAAUAAUUCACCAAAAGGGCAGAAGUUGGAGGGAAUAAGACUGAUUUAGGAAGUAGACUUCCAAGCCCUAUUGCUGCUGCCUAUUCCCUGCUGCUAAAGGUCAGAAAAUAUGGUGGUUUGGAACAUGUUGGAAUGGAGACAAGUGGAAAAGACAAAUUUUGGAGGUAGAACUGACAGCACCUGAAGAUGGAAACUCCCAGAUUAACAAACUCAUACUACCCUGGAACCAGCAUCGGUGCUAUGGUGGAACCAAGAAUUCACUUCUGACUUCAUUGUCACUGCCACUAGCAUCUGUCUACUCCCAAGAAACUAAAAGACAGGCACUGGACUGCUGCUGCAGAAACAUCCACAAUUCCACAGACUUGCUUGCAAAAGUGGUUGAAAAUUACCUCUACUCUUUUCCACCUUCUAAUGUUAGGUGAGUGCAAGGAUUGGUGAAAACUGCUUCUUCUCAUCCCCAGCUGCCUGGAAGUCUGGAAAAUGUAGUUGAUUUUAUCUUUGUUCUUGG
rnacentral:lncRNA from 10 species